GGGGACGUUUUCACGGAGGAGCUGAGGGCACUCUUGGACCUACCCCCACCCCCCCCACCCCCCCCAUUUCACAGCUGGGAGCUGAGAUCCGGAUGGCCUCCAAGUGCAGUGCUCGGGGCUGGGAGGAAGGUUAGUCGCCAAGCUGGGAAGGGGACCGGCCUCCCGCCACCUCCUCUAGUCCGACUUUGCCAGAUGACGUGGCGUGGACAGUGAGCACCUCACCGGAACCGUCUCCGGUGCGGCCGGGGGGGCCGGCUGGUGCGCCCACGAAACGCCGGGCACCUUGGCAUCAGCAGGUCCGGGGUCGGAUCCUGCCUCGGCCGGCAUCAGCUGUGAGGGUUCUGACACGUCCCUGAACCUCUCUGUGCCUCAGUUUCCUCCUCUGUAAAAUGGAGGCUCACAGUGAGGACUGAGCGGGUUAAUUCACAUAAGGCGCGUCAAGCAGCGGCUGAACGUGAGAGUGAGCGUCGUUCUUCUGGUCCCCGAGGGUUUUUGCACUGACCGCUCUGGGAGGCUGUGUGCUGUGCCCGAGGGACCGGACCCUCUCACCCAGGUGACAGUGCUGCUGUCCCGUCAACAAAUUAGAAACCCAUCCCCGGCUCCCACCUCCGCCUGGACGCGGCUGAAGCCUACGUCUUUGGACACAGUGACCCUUCCCGGACAGCGGUGGCCCACAGUGGCUCGUGAGUGACCACUCUCAGGAAACUGAACUGAUACUCCGCACUACUUCUUGGGUGGGGCCCGGGGAUCUCCCCGCAGACACAGCUCUUGCCCUGCACUCUUCCUACC